UCUGUCAUACCGAUCUUGAUCAGUGCUUGGAAAGGCGAGAACGAGGCGCAUCGAGCCUAUCCUCGAAUCCUUGGCCACGAAGCUGUCGGAGUCGUGGAGAGCGUGGGAGAAGGGGUGUUGGACAUGAGAGAAGGUGAUCACGUGAUUCCCAUCUUCAAUGGAGAGUGUGGACACUGCGUCUACUGCAAAUCAGAGAAGACUAACCUGUGUGAAACGUUCCGCGUCAAUCCGCUCAAGAAGGUGAUGCACAACGACGAUAAAUCGAGGUUCACGAGCAGAGACGGCCAACCCAUCUGCCACUUCCUU